rnacentral:lncRNA from 1 species
CCAAAUCCUUUUUAUCUCAAUAUGAGAUAUUUAGCCCAUUACAGCUACCCUAUAGUUUGGGGAAUACCAAAGUGAUGAAGACAAAGAUAAUUCGAGCUCUACAUCAAGAAAGUGGUAUGUACCGAGGUAUGUGUGCUGGAAUUGUAGAAAAAGGAAAGAAAAAAGAAACAAAGUUUUAGAAAAAGAAAAGAAAAGAAAAAGAGUCAAAGAGGAUGUAAUUUCUAAAUCCCUCCAUUAUCGCACGGGUCCUGGAUGCCACGAGCAAACAACAAAGAACAAUUCAAGAGGAAAGCUUGUGCUUUCACAAGGAAGACAAGUAUGUCCCAAGCUUUAGUAUUUCCUAUCCUUUCUUUCAUAGCCCCUGACCUAAGCCUUACAUUACACACCUUAUGAAAGACCUAGCUGAUCUUUGGGGAUGUAUUCAUGGGUGCUGCUAAGUAUGUGUGCUAUCCAUAUUCUUAGUGUUUAAUUCCUUUCAUGAGAUCUGUCCAGAAAUUGUGCUUUUAUUUCAUAUUUCAUAUGUGAGGAUUUUUAUUCCCUUUUACAUAACUUCACUCACAUAUGGUUGAGGAGAGACCACCCUUAGGAUCUGAGUGAAAAUUGGAGUGAUAUCUGUGAGGACUAGAGUUGAGGUGAUUUCUAACUUUGGCAUUUGAGUAUGGUGUCUUUGAAGUCAUGGGACAUGGAGUAAUUAUUAUUUUUACACUAUACUUAUGAUAUGAUUCUUUGAAGUGGCAAACUAGUGGUACGAAUGUAUGACUAAGCUUUCAUUGGUUCUUAUUAGUUUGCUAUAAGUAUGCUUUAACCAAUUUGCUUGCAAGUAUACAGAUGUUUGUGGGAGUUAUCACUGUAAACCCUCAGGAGACACAACUCCUCCUACUAGGGACACCUAGGGGUUUAAAGGCUUGUUGCCCAUGCUCAGUGCAAUCGUUUAACCAGCGAAAGUGGUCUAGUUAGAUUUUAGUUUCAGUUUUGCUCGAGGACUAGCAAAAAUCAGGUUUAGGGGUAUUUGAUAACUCAUAUAUUUAUACAUAUAUAUCAUCCAUUUCUAGUUUAUUUGUGAUGUUUUUGAGUUAAACUUGUUACAUUUUAUCCUAUUUUGUGUUAGUAUGCAGUUGCAUCUACUUUAGGAUCAAGUUGAAGGCAAAAGAAAUGAAAACAUGCCAUUUUUGGAGCUGACCCUUAUUCAAACAUGGAAACAAGUUUCGUGACCUGUUUUGAAGUCCAAAUAAAGAAUCCAAGGCGAACCUGGCUUGGUUGAAGACUAAGAGCAGAAUGGGAAAGCAAUGGGGAUUUCUAGCCUGAUUUGGGGGUGCCAAAUAAGGCGAAAACAUGCAAAAUAAAAGCUGAUUUGUUAGGAUCUCUCUGGAAUAUCUUGCAGCCUCUUUUACCCCAUAAAAACUUGCCUUUUAGCCACUUUUAAAACCCCUAUUUAUUUUGGACGAAUUUCACAACCCUAGGACUGACUUCUUGGUUAUUCUCUCCUUUCAUGCACACUAAAACCCUAGCCGUCCAUAUAUUUCCACCAUCAGGACUCAGCGCAAGAGGUGGUUCUUGAAGAAGUUCAACAUCAAAAUUGGUUCAAGGGUAUUGCCCUGACCAAAUCAUUCGAAGAUGUGUACCAGAGAGUGAGCAGCAAAGCAUACUAACAUUCAGUCAUGCAUUGGCAUGCGGAAGUCAUUUCAGUGCCAAAAAGACAGCUUUAGAGGUUUUACAAUCUGGUAUCUUUUGGCCUACAUUGUUUAAAGAUGCUUUUGAUUUUUUCUCUAAGUUUGAUAGGUGUCAGAAAAUGGGGAGCAUCAAUCGCAGCAACGAAAUGCCAUUAAACAACAUUUUAGUGGUUGAGCUGUUUGAUGUGUGGGGAAUUGACUUCAUGGGACCAUUCCCAUCUUCUUUUGGAUACAUAUACAUACUAGUGGUAGUAGAUUCUGUGUCAAAAUGGGUUGAGGCAACAGCUACACGAACUAAUGAUCACAAAGUUGUCUUGAAUUUUCUCAAAGAUAUGAUUUUCACUGGGUUUGGAACUCCGAGAGCUAUCAUUAGCGAUGGCGGCAGUCACUUCUGCAACAAACCUUUCGAGGCAUUGAUGAAGAAGUACAACAUCACACAUAAAGUGGCAACUCCAUACCAUCCUCAAACUUCUGGACAAGUGGAAAUCAGCAAUAGAGAAAUAAAGAACAUCUUGAUGAAAACCGUCAGCCCUAGAAGGAAGGAUUGGUCACUAAGGUUGAAUGAUGCACUUUGGGCGUAUCAAACAGUGUACAAGACCCAAAUUGGAAUGAGCCCUUAUCGACUGGUGUUUGGAAAGGCAUGUCAUCUGCCAAUGGAGCUCGAGCACCGUGCAUAUUGGGCCAUAAAGAAGUUCAAUUUUGAUCUCAAAGAAGCUGGUACAGUGAGGAAGCUCCAACUCAAUGAGUUGGAAGAGCUCAUAAAUGAAUCAUAUGAGAAUGCAAGGAUCUACAAAGAACGAACCAAGCUCUACCAUGACAAAUCAAUUCUUAGGAAGGAGUUUCAACCAGGUAUGAAAGUACUUUUGUAUGACUCACGUUUGCGACUGUUUCCAGGUAAAUUGAAGUCUAGAUGGGUUGGACCAUUCAAAGUGCUUCAAGUAUUUCCCCAUGGAGCUAUGGAGAUAGAAAACAUCAAGAAUGGCACCCGUUUUAAGGUCAAUGGACAGCGUUUGAAGCCUUAUUUGGAAAAUGUUUCACAGGAGCAGGUUUAUGUAGUUAUAGAUUCUCUCGAGUUUAUGGCAACUUAGGCACACUACCAUGUCUUGCCUAGACAUUAAAUAAAGCGCUUACUAGGAGGCAGCCAAGCUGUGUUUGUGUUAUUUCCUUUUAUUUGUGUUAGUUUUUAGUUUUUAUUUUAUUUCAUUCCAUACACACUGUGCCAAUUUGCAUUGCAUCCAUUCCAUUCAAUUUUUUUUUUUUAAGCAUCGAGGACAAUGCUUAGUUUAGGUUUGGGGGUGUGGGAUUUUCGUUUGUUUUUAGUUCUGGUUAAAGUUUGCUUUUGCUUACUAAUGUGAAUGUAUAUGAGGGCUAUGGUUUACAAUGAGGACUACUGUGUUGUCAUGAAAAAGUUCGUAUCAUAUUGUUUUCAUUUUUUUUCAAACCUGUUACUCUUGGAAUCAUGGUGGUGAAAGUAUCAUGCUCAAAUUAUGGAAGAAGAAUUGUUGAGACUACCCUAGUGAGUGAUUUUGAGCCUAUUUACUUCUUUGAGAGGGUUUAAAGUGUUUGUACUCCUAUCUUUUUGCUUCAAUUUUAUUUCAAAUGAUCUCAUUAUUUUUGUUUGAUUGAAUGCUAAAUUUUUUUCGCUUUCGCAGAUACCAUGUGUUUGGUAACACUCAUGAAUGAACUCAUUGAGAUGAUGUUAGGCUAUGCAUGUCUUAACCACCAAAAGGCCUAAUUUCUUACCUUUAUGUGUGUGCCAUUACCCCAUUUUGAAGCCAAUCCUUUUUAGCCAUUUUCUUUUCUCACAUUUGUUUCCCCAUAUCCUUUUAUCUCAAUAUGAGAUAUUUAGCCCAUUACAGCUAUACCCUAUAGUUUGGGGAAUACCAAAGUGAUGAAGACAAAGAUAAUUCGAGCUCUACAUCAAGAAAGUGGUAUGUACCGAGGUAUGUGUGCUGGAAUUGUAGAAAAAAGAAAGAAAAAAAAGAAACAAAGUUUUAGAAAAAGAAAAGAAAAGAAAAAGAAUCAAAGAGGAUGUAAUUUCUAAAUCCUUCCGUUAUCGCACGGGUCCUGGAUGCCACGAACAAACAACAAAGAACAAUUCAAUAGGAGAGCUUGCUGCUUUCACAAGGAAGACACUUUGGUGUGUCCCAAGCUUUAGUAUUUCCUAUCCUUUCUUUCAUAG